rnacentral:ncRNA from 1 species
CCUACAACGGCUUCCUGAAGUAGGUGUUUUUUUUUGGAGCA